AAGUGGCAGACUGGAAAAUCUCUGCAGGCAAAUGUGAUGUCACUGAAGCAAUCACACACUUGCCCGUAGAGAUUCUACAGUCUGACAUC
rnacentral:pre_miRNA from 12 species